rnacentral:rRNA from 1 species
ACGGAAGGCAGCAGUGGGGAAUAUUGGACAAUGGGCGCAAGCCUGAUCCAGCAACGCCGCGUGAGGGAUGACGGCCUUCGGGUUGUAAACCUCUUUCAGCAGGGACGAAGCGCAAGUGACGGUACCUGCAGAAGAAGGACCGGCCAACUACGUGCCAGCAGCCGCGGUAAUACGUAGGGUCCGAGCGUUGUCCGGAAUUAUUGGGCGUAAAGGGCUCGUAGGCGGUUAGUCACGUCGGGAGUGAAAACUCAGGGCUCAACCCUGAGCGUGCUUCCGAUACGGGCUGACUAGAGGUAUGCAGGGGAGAACGGAAUUCCUGGUGUAGCGGUGGAAUGCGCAGAUAUCAGGAGGAACACCGGUGGCGAAGGCGGUUCUCUGGGCAUUACCUGACGCUGAGGAGCGAAAGCAUGGGGAGCGAACAGGAUUAGAUACCCUGGUA